rnacentral:rRNA from 1 species
AGAGCGAACGCUGGCGGCAGGCUUAACACAUGCAAGUCGAGCGGGCGUAGCAAUACGUCAGCGGCAGACGGGUGAGUAACGCGUGGGAACAUACCUUUUGGUUCGGAACAACACAGGGAAACUUGUGCUAAUACCGGAUAAGCCCUUACGGGGAAAGAUUUAUCGCCGAAAGAUUGGCCCGCGUCUGAUUAGCUAGUUGGUGAGGUAACGGCUCACCAAGGCGACGAUCAGUAGCUGGUCUGAGAGGAUGAUCAGCCACAUUGGGACUGAGACACGGCCCAAACUCCUACGGGAGGCAGCAGUGGGGAAUAUUGGACAAUGGGCGCAAGCCUGAUCCAGCCAUGCCGCGUGAGUGAUGAAGGCCCUAGGGUUGUAAAGCUCUUUUGUGCGGGAAGAUAAUGACGGUACCGCAAGAAUAAGCCCCGGCUAACUUCGUGCCAGCAGCCGC